rnacentral:piRNA from 1 species
UUCACUUAUGAGAAAAACUGCAGCCCUCGU